GCCUUGAUAAAGGUGAUACACACAUGAAAACCUUUCAGAAGACCUCUCUCCUUCACGUUAGAAUUCCCUUUCCAGCAUUCUGUUUGGGAAUUGGUGUUCUAUACAUCACAAACCACUGGUGUUAAAAAACGGGAGAGGCCUGGAAAAUCAUCUGAGCUUGAAAACAGUCGUUGAAGUUUCAGUGUUCUUGGUGAUGAAGUUGAUUGUGUGCAUGUUUCAUUAAGAAUCAAAGCAUGUACAUCAUUCUGCAUGGAAGCCAACAGCAGAAGCACAGCAGCAUCCCCAAGGUUCAAUGGUCUGGAAGGGAUAGAAGUGGUCAGUUAAUCAAAACAUCUGGACACAUAGGAGUUUCAUUUUAUCUUCUUAGAGCAAGCACCUUGGCAACCCAAUUUUUGGGGGGACCAGCAGUGGUCAUUUCAGAGACUCACUGAGCUGUACAGCCGAGCCGCAAGGUCACCUUGGUUCCACGUACAGGCAGUGAUGGGCCCCAUCUGUGUCGUGCUAGCGGGUCAUCAGGGGAGCUCCCGUCUGUCACAGGGCCGGCGACUGUCACCCCCAGGACGUGUUCCCUCCAUAAAUGGAAACCGGCCUCUCCCACUCCCCUUCACCCGUUUUGCCCAACUUCUCUCCUCUCUCCACUCUGGCAACCAUUAAGUUUGUUCUGGGUACUUAACAGUCUGUUCUUGUUUUUUGUUUUAGUUUUCAGAUUCCACAUAAAAGUGAAAUUCCAU
rnacentral:lncRNA from 12 species